UGUGGUAAUAAUGGACAUAGUGACUUGAUAGUUUAUUAGUUAAAUAGCACUUCUGGAAAAAACACAAAUGCUGCUCAUGAUCUCUUCUUGGAACCAGUUCAUGAUCUGGGUAGGGAUGCAAGAACAUGGAUGCAGCAUUAUGUGAUUUCUAGCACAACUCCAACCCACAGGAAUGAUGAUGGGAAAACAUUUCUAAUGCUUUAUGACAACUGCUGCUAGUUUAUUUAACAAUACAAAAUAUGUUGCAUCAGCAUAUGUAUUGGCUUUUAACAAUUAAAGAGUUUAUUUUGUUUUCCUAACAAUAUCACUAUAAAACUAAGAUCUUUCAAUAGGUUCUUAACACUCACUGGACAACUUUUACUGCAAGUCAUCUCAACUAAUGUGACAAAGAGGAUGUGGGAACCUUCCAGUAGUCCAGGAGCUGGACUCCUUCACCUGGGACAAAAUUAAGCAGAUCUCUCUUUCCACUGAAGCCCAGCACAUGUCCAGGGCCUCCAGUUCUAGAGCUGCUGACCAGACACAGUGAAAGGAACAAGCCCUGGAAGGGCCAUUUACUGGAACAAGACUAAGCUAUCAUUCCCCACUUCAUCAGCUGUGGCCAGGUUUCUAAAGGAGGUCAGUCUUGGGGAGCAUCCACCGUAUCCCAGACACACCAUUACACAACCAGCCACCAUCUUCAAGAUAUUCUAGCAACUGUCUGGACUGUCACAUCUAGAAUAGCCACAAUUAAUCAGACAUUUUGCUGGCAAACUGAAUCAGUUUGGAAUUAGGCUUCUAACAGACACAUGCCAAGCACUGAAAUUUUAUGUAGCUUUCAAAACAUGAGCAACAACAAAAAUAUCCACACAAAGCAGUCAAAACAUGGUAUUGAAUUAUUUUAGCAACAGAUAUGCAACAAGUUUAAUCCGUUCAUAAAUUUGUACCCUGUUACUCCAUUCUUUGCCUUAGAGCUUGAUUUUCAGCCAGGAGCACUGGGCACUUAGAUCCCACAGGCUCCUUCAAGAGCUUGCAGGUGCUCAGCCUAUCUGAGAAACACUGAGUGCCUGCCAGAGUGUGGCCCCUGUGGAUGUCUGACAACACUUUUACCUUCUAUUUUGCUCGACCUCAAGCUUUUUUAAUUAAGAGGUCUUGUCCAGUAUCCUGAUAACCAUUGCAUAAGUUUGCUGGCAUUAGGCAGCACCAGUUAGUUAAAUGAUAUGAAAAAAAAAUCCUACAAGCAGUUCUAAAAUGCUCAGCUUGCUACACAACUUGUCUAUGAAAUAUUGCUCUAAUCCAGUUCUGUAAGUCUCAGGUACAAAAUAUUCUAAUUGGAAACCACUUUCAGAAUAACAGAAUAGUAUCUCAAACACAGUUCUCAAUCCUUCUCCUCAAGGAGCCACUCUGACACUUAACAGAGGUUGCUGCAAUGAGCUGAACCAAGAGCUGUCCUACUCACAGGGGGGCAGGGAGGGGGAUGAAUAGAUCUUCAUGUUAAUGAAAAUUUGAGGUUCUGAUCCAGGAAAGCACAUAAACUAGCAUUCAAAUGCUGUCGUGGAUUUGGGCUUUUAAGAAAACAUACUUGCAAGGAGAUUCUAGGAUAAAAAGCACGUCUGCUCUACUGAUGAGUCUCUCAUGAACUCAGUUAAACUAACUCACCCCAUAGGUCAAAAGUGACUCUUGACUUUUUUACCACUGAAAUACAAUGGGGAAAAUGAAAUUUAUAGAUUUAAUACCUUUAAGGGCUGCAUUUCAGGACUGAAGAAUUUUUUCCUGAUACCUUAGCCUGUACCAAGGAAGAGGAAAGGUAUGUAUCCCUCACAGUGCUGCAACAGUCAGGCUACCUGUCCUGCCAGGAAAUAAUUUGAGUCUACCUAGAUUCAUCUAGCAGUUAAAGUGCAGGAAACCAUUCCAUUACUUGAUUGUAGUCAUUCCCUGCUUAAGAAAAGCAGCUUGAGAAUACAGUAUCACUUCAGUCCCUAGAGGGCUUGUUGGUUUCCAGUCUUUCUUGGAGAGAAGACUUCUACAGUUUCCAUUCUGGAACAACCUCAGUCAUUUUUCCAGAGCCUGCACCAGCACUGGGACAGGUUUUUUGUUUGUUUGGGGUGGGGAAGGUGGAUUUGGUGGUUGGGGUCUUUUCAUUGUUGUGGUUUGUUGGUGGGGUUUUUUUUAAUUGGGCUUGUUUGUUUCUUGGGUUUUUUUUAAGAUUGGCUAAACUGACUCUCAAAAUUUUACUUAUGGCCAAGAAAACUCCUGUGACAGAACUGGGACAGGCACCUCUAUCUCCCUUCCCAAGUUACUCUCUAUAAGCUCCAGUUGCUGGAACUGGAACUUCAGAUGUACUUAUUCUCUAGACACAUACACAAGAACUUCAUUAACAGCCAGGAUUAUGGAGUCUAAAAGGGCUGGUGCCAGCUUUACCACAGCCUUACCACAGCCAAACUUGUUUUCCUCUUCACUGCUUUUUUCCCUUUCACACUCAGCUACUCCUGUGAUUCUGUUUAUGCAGAAGCAAUAUCAAUUGCAUUAAUUGUGGCUUAUGUUCCUCCUCAGGUGCAGCAGCCAAGUUAGAAAGGGGAACUUUGACACUGCUGCUUUUAAACCAUAGGAAUAACAGCUUCAAAACAAACAAACAAACAUAUAAAAACACCGCUUCUCCCACAUACAAAAAAACCCAAACAAAACCACCCCCCCCUCCACGUUUCUUGCACAAUAAAAUUAUGGUCCUUGCAAAUCUAAAUUGCUCUUUGCUACCUUGACAAACACUGUCCUUGACAGAAUCACAUUAAGAGAAAUUCACUAAUGAUUAUGCUAAAGUUCAGAUUCGUUACUCCCACGGUAAAUGUGAUUGAGACUUUCGGUAGCUAUUUCAUUUUAAGGAGGUAAACCAUAAUUGUUUCAUUUGCAGUUAAGUGAUCAGAGCUAAAUCCUGUGUUAAGUAAAACUGUUUUCAAGCACUUUUCUGGACAUUUUACUGCAAUACUACUGAGCAAAUAAGACAUACUUUAUUGUCCGCACCCAUAUGAGUAGAAUAUCUUUUUACCUACCAUCAGCAGAGAGAUUAGCAUGCCUUUCAUAGGCUUUGUUUAUUUCUAGAAAAGCUUUGCUCAAAACAUUCUCCAAGUUCUCCUCCUCAGCAAGAAAUUCCCUGGAAACAAACAAGCAAACAAAAAACUAAACUUCUCUCCAAGAAAUACACAUCUUGAUCAAUCUGCUUCAUACUCCUAUCUCCUCCUUGCACACAUUGAAUAAUGCUGCAUUUCAGUGAAAAGGUAACAUGGUUUUACUAAUGACCUGACUGGAAGCAUAAUCUUGUAAUUCUGCAAAUAUGUAAGUUCCUCUUCCAACAUCCAGGGAUGGGAUAGAGAGAAAAGAGUGUAAGCAAACUGCAGGUCAGCAAUCACAGUGACCUUAUGUGAAAACAGUCAAUUCACACUCUCCCUGUGUUCCCAGUCAUCUCCUGGAUGGUGAGUACAAUCGUGUUUUUCUCUUGUCUUUGUGGGCUUGCUCCAUAGGGCAGGCACCACACAGAAUAAGUAGUUCAUAGCACGUCUGUUCCACCUGAUGCUCCUGCUGUCCCGUUAGGACAGGUGGCUACAUAAUCUAGGAAGAUUAACAAGGUAAAACCCUCCGAUUCUCUCUCAGUCCUAAGGAAGGAAUCUCUGCUCAAAUUUAUUUGACACACAUUCCCUUGAUGUGCACUUACUUAAUAUAUUUUUCCAUGUACUUCUCACAGAAGUCAGCUGCUGCUGCCCCACCAUGUCCAUCGUAUACUGCAAAGUACAGGAUAUCCUCCGUCAGCUGAGAAUAAUCGAACCGGUCUUCGUUCUCCUUGCGCUUCCCGAUGUGGCUCGCGCAGCCCACGUUGGUCAGGCUCACUUUAGGAAUCGGCUUCCCAUACUUUAUGCUUGGUGGGAGGAGAAUAGGCUCAUCAAUGCGAUUGUCCCAGAUGCCAAAGGUGUCCCAUGUGGUCGGCCGCCCGCUCCCCUCCGGAUCGAAGCGGGAAACAUGGCGCUCAGAGCUGGAGACGUAGCAGGCGCCCGUUGGGCGUUUCUCGUCUUGCAAGAGGCGGGAUGUGAGCACGGCUCUCCUUCUUACUUGAUACCCUCCAUUUCGUACCAAAUUAAUUAAAGUAGCUGUUGACAUAACUUGUCUUCACAGAGAUUCUCAGGAAAAAAAAGAUCAGGAGCAAAAGAUACUGCAGCUGCUGGAAUGUCUUGGAGAACAAUGAGGAAACUGAUCAGGAAACAAGAAGCGCGGGAAAGAGGAAUUUUCAGUUACAUCAUUUAGGAAACAACGUCACCCUCAGAGCCUGCUAAUCAUGCCAAGCACAGCUCUGCCUGGAAGCAAGUCCAGGGCGGUCUGCGUGACUCACUGACAAACUAUCCUACACACAGCAGCCCACAUUUAACCCAAGUGCUGCAGGCAGAACAAGGCUGGCUGCUGCUCGGCAGAUGGAAAUUUUCCAGGCUGCCAGAAGAAAAGGGGGGGAAAAAAGGAAGGCCGGAAGAAAGCGAAGGCAUGCCUGCUGCCCCGGGGGAUCCCACGUAUGUGAAAAGGAAUGUACAACUCCAAGUGCACUUGCCUCGCGUGCCUUCCAAGCCCCACGGAUGCAGGCAGGACCGAAGGGUACGUUAACUGUUAUGUUAAGCUCGACUUAAAACAGAGGGUUGGUUUGUUUUUUUUGUUGUUUUUUUUUUUA